CCCAUCUCUCUCUCUCUCUCGCGACUGUGAGCAUGGCAGACGACGGCGUCCCAGGAAGCUCCUUUUUGAAUCUCUCCGACGACCUCACAAAAUCUCAAUCUCGGCUAGCACCGUUUGUCCUAGGGAGCUCCGCCUCGGCCUAGUUCCUCUCCGUCGUCAUGGCUUCAGGAACCGGUCGGUUUUCGCAUUCGCAGCUUCGCAUGAGGAAUCGAGUUAUACACUGAACAUCACAACAUUGCAAGGUUUUGAAACUUUUAUGUCAAGUCUUAAAAACAAAACAUUUUGCCCAAGCAAACAAGGAAUUGGAGUGGAUCUUGUAUUAAGCUGUGUGGAUAACUAUGAAGCAAGGAUGGUUGUAAAUCAGGCUUGCAUCGAAUUGAAUCAGACAUGGAUGGAGUCUGGUAAGAAACAUUUUUU